GGAGGUGUAGUUCAGUGGUAGAGCAUAAGCUUAGCAUGUGUGAAACCCUAGGUUCAAUCCCCAGCAUCCUCCA
rnacentral:tRNA from 1 species